CCAUUGGCCCUUUUUAGGGCCAUGCAUUUAGUGAAAAAAAGUUAA
rfam:Aedes aegypti strain Liverpool supercont1.361 genomic scaffold, whole genome shotgun sequence.